GUUCAGGUGUGUCCUGAAGCAGCAGGUGUGAUGGAGACUCUCCAUCAGAGGAUGGAGAUGAGAAGGUGAGCUGAGGACCACCUGUUGUUUUCAAGUGUGCAGGCAGAUGGUGGGAGGAGGACUUGGACUUGUGAUCUCAGUUCCAGAGCUGGUUGACAACUGCAAAAACCUGGAUGUAUGUGAGACAGAAGCCAGUAGGAGCCUGAGAGAGAACGCCAGAGCCAUCGGGGAUGAGUCUGAGGAGAUGAAGAAAGACCUUCAGCAAAUCGAAAAUGUUUUCCGGAGAUUAAUGAGAGUUAAACGUGCCAUUGGAAAGAGGGGGAGUCAGAGGAGCAGGAAGAGAGGAAAAUUUGUGAUGGAGAACCUCAAACAUGAGGUCACCCUGCAGUGGCUGAAAGAAAACCCUG